rnacentral:rRNA from 1 species
UACGGAGGGUGCAAGCGUUGUCCGGAAUUACUGGGCUUAAAGGGCGCGUAGGCGGGUCUGUAAGUCGGUGGUGAAAUCUUCGAGCUUAACUCGGAAACUGCCAUUGAUACUAUAGGUCUUGAAUUAUCUGGAGGUAAGCGGAAUAUGUCAUGUAGCGGUGAAAUGCUUAGAUAUGACAUAGAACACCAAUUGCGAAGGCAGCUUACUACGGAUUGAUUGACACUGAGGCACGAAAGCGUGGGGAUCAAACAGG